CACUACGAUGUCCGAAUAUCUUGGGCCAUUUUUCGAAAAGUCAGAUCGUUUAAUGUACAGUUUGAUAGUUAUCGUUUAGAAUGUAGAAAACGGUCGCGUAGAGAAGAGAGGAAGGUAGUCUGGAAGGUAGCCUGGAGAGAGCAGCGCGAACGUUAACGGUUGAGAACACUGUUCGGUCAGGGAGAAGUCACGAACGCAAAAGGAAGGCGACGCGACGUAAGGAUUUUUCGAAUGGUAUCGGAGAAAUAAAUCUCUCAAGGUGAGAAAACCAAAGGGAACGAGCUCGUGACAGAUUCGAUCCGAGAAGAUGGCGAAUGAUCUCGUGAAAGAAACCCGAACGCAUCGUCGUUGAGC
rnacentral:misc_RNA from 1 species